ACGGGGAGGGAAUAGCUUCACUUUGGUAGCAGAGAAUAGGGGUUGGCAGCCAUCUUGCUUUCGGGCAAGCUGGCAACGCAAGUUGUUCUUCAGGGCGGCUUCAGGGCCGUGUAAAGGCAUGAGAGAGGGUGGCAUUCUUGAGUGUGGAAACACUGGUGGGUGUAGGGCUGGUUGGUGUCGACUUCAAGACCAACUGAAAGACUGCGACUGGUACCCAUGACGCAUAAGGGCGGAACAUCACGGGGUCAGGGUUGCCCUGCGAACUUGGGGAAAGGUUCAUGCUCUGGAUUUGACCUUUGCUCUGAGCUUCCUGGUAACCCGGACGUUCUGUAAACCUGAGUCCGGAACAGAAAGCGUUGCUCAGAUACCCUCUCAGAUUUCACUCUUUGAACAUUUACCUUUUGAACACGCGCUUCCUGAAGUGUCGCCUGGGUUGAAUCCUGGACUGUUGGGAAUUGGGGGUGGGGGGCCAGGUACCAUCUGGAACUGCCAGCAGUCUGGUAUCAUUAAAAGAGAGGGCGAUGAAUACGUCUUGAAGAGUCUUAGCAGAGGUGUGAACCGAUAUAUUUGCAUUUUAGAAAGAUCACUAGUUGCAAUGGGGAGAAUGAAUUGGAGGGGACGAACUUAGAGUCAAGAACAAUUCGGAAGCUCUUACCAGAUUACUUCCUGGCUUUUCAGAAAGGAACUCAUCAGCUGUAAUGUAUGGAAGGGGGAUGUGCCCCACCACAUAAGCCCACGAAAGAGGCAGACCCAGACCCUACUUCUUAAAAUAGAAUCAUAUUCUCUCUAUACCCAUAUCCAGAAGUGAUUUAACACCUAGCAGUCUUGGCAUCACAGUAGUAAUUCCUUUCCAUGAGCCCAUCUCCUCUCUAACCUAACCCAACCCCAUUUGGAGGAUAAAAGAGGAGAGUCCAUGCUGAGGACUGCCAUCUCUGACACUAUGGUGUCCUGUCUGCUCUUUGCAGCCUGCGGGGAAAAGACAGAUUGCCCUCUUCACUCAGAAUGGAAAGCUAAAGCAAGGGCUGGGGUUCUUUUUCAUUAGGCCUUCAAAGUAAUCCCUCUUCCUCUAUAGGAUUUGUAGGUCUUAAUCCUUUGCCCUGGGGCCAAACCUUAACUAAAUUUUACAAAUUCCAGACAUUGGGACAAUUGCUUGGCCAGCUGUUCGUAAAUCAGUCCAUUUAUGACUACAUUUGUAGAAAUGUUUUCUGUUUGGGGGACCCUUGAAGUUCACUCUUAAUAACAUGAAGGUACAGGUGGUAUAGGUGCUGAAGAGGUCAUACUGCCAAUAAAGAGCUGAGCAGAUUUCCUGAGGUGAAAUGGAGUAAAUAACUAACCCAAGGAGAUUUGUAUAGAGGUGGGCACUCUCAUGCCCAACAUGGAGAAAAAUAUUUCAAACAAGAUUUUUUUGUCAUUUGAGGCUAAACAGCUGUUCCCCUUUGGAUUAAACUGUACAUCAUUUCUGCAGUUACAGCAUAAACCUCAUCUAUUGCCUGAUGUUUUUUCCACCCUCUCCUUGCUUCAGCUAAAAACUUGAGAAAACUCUAUUGAGAAGUUUGAGAACUCUGUGUAGGAUUCUCUUGUUCGUCUGCCUUGUUCCUCAGUUCCUGUCUCUUCCUUCAGGCCUCAGCUGAGAUAACAUCCCUCUAGCCUUCAAACACUGGCCCCUCCAACUGGACCCUGACUCCCAUCUUUUUCUUCUUCUUAAUAAACUCUGUUCCCACAAUUAUCUCUAUCCUUCUCUAGAAUCUUUAAACUGACAUCCUUCUGCUACCUUUCACAUGCCUCUAUUUCCAGUAUGUCUUGCACUAUAAUUCUUAAUUCACUGUAAUUUUCAGUGAUUAGAAAAGCCUUUUUUUCUGUAAUUAGAAAAAUCUCUCUGUAACUUCCACUUUCUGGUCCUUUUUUUUUUCCCCUCUCUGAAUCAAUACAUCAUAGUUACAUGUCAGCUCUUCAGAUAGCUAAUAUGUCCCUACUAAAUUUUUUUUCCAAGUCAAUGGUAGUACCAAUUCAAAUUAUAAUAGAUCUAUUAUCUUCCUUGAUCUCAAUACUCUAUUAAGGCUGCUUGUCCCAGUCCAUGCUGUUCCCCAGUUCUGCCAGAAUUAAAGUCUUAAAACCAGACUUUCCCUUAAAGAAUUCUGCACGCUGUUAGCAACCCAUCGUCCCAGGUACCCUCUUGAAUCUUCCAGGCCCACUCUGAUCCCUGUGGCCCUGCCUGGGCUUUACUCUUGAACUUUAUUCUACAGUGACUUGCUGACCUUACAGUCCUUUCUAGUUCUUGGUGCCCCCAUUAACUCCAGUUACCAAGCUACUCCAGUUACUCAUUUUCACCCAGGCAUCAUACUGGCUCCUAAUUUCACUCGUAAUUCAGACCUAGCCGUAAGCCCUUAACUAGAAUUCUGGUGACUCCUCGCUCCUAGGGAAUAGAAGAAAGGGACCACAAUCAGUCACUGACUCCUAGUGAUCUGUCCAAAAUUCUCCUUAACUUGCUCCCUUUUCUUUGUUUGCCAGCUCUGACCCUCACUAAUGUGACUUUAGGCAAGUUUCUUAACUUCUCUGAGCUUAUUUUCUCAUCUGUAAAAGCAACAAAUAUAAAAUAACAUCGAUCUCAUAGGUCAUUGUUCUAAAACUAUAUUAAAUAAUAUAUGUGAAGUAUCACCACAGGGCCUAGCUUUGUAAGUACUGGAUAAAUGUUAUCUAAUAUUUAUAUAUAACAAUUUUCACCAGAUUUUAGAAGUUCAGGAGGGUCUUUGUUAAUGCUUUCUGCUGCCCCCAUGGGGAUGACUUUUUCCAAGUCAUUGGUUAUCAUACAGGCAGGCCAUGAUGGGAAAAAAAUUAAAAAAUCCCUGUCUUACCAACCCCACCAGCUACUUAGAGAAUUAAUCAUUUCUUUGGUUGGUUGUUUAAUCGAAUAAAAAUGCUUCUAUAUUCUAGCCAAUUCAUUAUCCUUUUCGAAGAACAUAUCAGGAAACUGUUAGAUUUUUCUGAAAUCAAGGUGUACUGUAUCUGUGAUGUCAUCCUAGUCUGUUAAUCUAGUAAUACUGGCAAGGAGAGUUAUUCAGUCAUUUAUUUAAUAAAUACAUGGUAAACAUUUACUUAUGUGAAGUACUGUGAUAGGCAUGUAGGAUAGGAUACACGUGGUAAACAAAACAGACAUGGUCCAUGUCUUCAUGGAAUUCACUGUAUACAGGGGUAGACAGACACUAAGGAAAAUAGCAAAUAAAUCAUUUUAAAUUGAGAUGGGUACUAUGAAGGAGAAGAACAGAAUGCUGUUACAGGAAGAUGAAUGAUCGGGGAAAGCCUCUCUCUGAGGAGGUGACAUGGAAGCUGAGACCAGAAGGAGACAAAGGAGUCAGCCUUCUUGUAGAGAAAGGGAGAAAUCUCUUAGGCUGAGAGGAUACCUGCAAAAAGCCCAGAGGCAAGGAAGAGCUGACACUUUGGGAGACUGAAACACAUCGUGCUGAACCCCUGUAGGCAUCUGAGGAUCACUGCUUUCUUUUCUCACUCAUAAAACACUCUUUAGUAGAUAUUCUACAGUUUUACUGAGAAUCAGUAAUCUCAGUUUUUUGGUUUCCAGAAUUCACUAUCUAGAAUUUCCCUGUUUGAAAAUGUGGACAUUUGCCAUAUUGUGAAUUCCUCAGAUUACCUGAAGGGAGUACAAUUUCACUUACAUAGUGUUUUUGAUUUCGAAAACACCAUGUAUCCAGGCCUUGAACUCAUUUAAAAUGCUAAAAUCCUAUUACUAUCUUAGCUAAACAUUAAUGAAGUUAUAACAAAAAGAAUUUUCCUAACUUAUAUUACCUCAUUUCUUCGUGUUUUCUUCCAAGCUUUAGCUAUUUAUACACAUUUAUACAUGGCUAAAAUAAUGUAAUUAUCAUUUUUGCAGAUGAUAGCUUAUUUACAUAGAUAAUCUUGAAAAUCAACUUUAAAAUUAUUACAAAUAGUAACAAUUUAGUAAAGUGAUGUAGGGGGAUGUAACAUGCAGAAAUAAAUAUCCUUUAUAGAUAUAUAAACAUGUAAAAGAUAAAACUGAAGAAAAGACCCAAUAGCAACAAAUCAGAUAAAAUGCCUAGGAAUAACUAACAAGAAUGUACAAGAUCUGUAUGAAUGGAAUUCUAAAAUGCUACCAACAUAAAAGAAAUCUUGAUCAAAUGGAAAGUAAUAUGUUCUUGGAUAGAACAUAUGUUGUCAAUUUCCCAACACUGCCUAUAAAUUUAAUGUCUAGAUCAAAAUAUCAACAGGAUUUUUAAAAAAUCAAACAAAUGUAUUUAAAUUCACAUGGAAAAAUAAGGAAUAAUUGAAAGGAAAAUUCUGAAAAAGGUAAGUAAUGAAGCCAACUCAACCAGAUAUAAACAUAUAUGUAAAUCUACAAUAAUUAAAACAAUGGGUUAAUACUCUGUGAGUAAACAAAUUAAUGGAAUAGAAUGGAAGGUCCAAGGACAGACCCAAAUAUGUGUGGAAAUUUUGUAUUGAUAAAGAUGUCACCUUAAAUACCCUUCAAAAUUAAUUCCAUAUGCAUUAAUAGCUAAUCAUAGUUAAUAUAAAAUACUAGAAACUAAAAUAUAAGGGUAUGAAAAGGUUGAAAGUAAAAAAAUGAGAAAAAUAUACUAUGCAAACAUAAACCAAAAGAAAAUUAUAUAAUAACAAAUACAGUAGGCUUGAAGGCAAAAGCAUUACUAGAAAUAAAGGCAUUUCAUAUCAGUAAGUCCAAUUCACUGGGAAGUUAUAAAUUUGUAUGCACUGAAUAACAAAAUAUAUAGAGCAACAGAGCUACAAGGGAAAGACAGACAAAUUCACAAUCAGGAGAUUUAUCAUGCCACUCAUUCACUGAUAAAGAACUAAUAGACAAAAACUUAGUAUAUAAAAAUCUUAACAUGAGGAGCAAACUUCAUUCAACAAGCAUAUAUAGUCACUAUACCCCUAAACUGCAAAUUACUGAUUAUUUUCAAGCACACUUGGAACAUUUAAAAAACUGAUCAUAUUGUGCUAUAAAGCAAAUUUCAACAAAUUUCAAAGUAUUGAAAUUAUACAAAGUGUGUUUCUUGCCCUCAUUGCAGUUAAACUAGAAAUAAGUAGCAAUAAGGUAACUAGAAGUUAGAAAUAAACUUCUAACCCACACCCCCAAAAAAAUCACAGUGGGAGUAGAAAUUAAUUGGAACUGAAUGGUAAUAAAAAUACAACAUACCAAAAUUUGGAUAUGGCUAAAGCUUUGCUUACAGAGAAAUGUAUAGUCUUAAUUACACGUACUAGGAAAAAAGAAAAGCUGAAAGUUCUGAAGUUUUGCAUCCAUCUCAAAAACCUAUAUAAAUCCAGAGAAUGUAGAAGAAAGGAAAUGUGUACGAAGAGAUGUCUGGAAGGAUAUAUAUUUAAAGUGAUAGUUUUUAAUCUCUUUGGGUAGGAUUUUGAAUUUAUUUUUCUGUAUUGUUUAAAUAAGCUGGAACAAGCAAAGCCACUUUCAGUUUAAGAGAAAAAGUACUCUAGGGAAAUGGGAUAAUUUUUUAAAAAAUAAUAUAGACUUUUGUGAUGUCUCAGCACCAGAAAUUAUAAGCAAAAAAACUGAUAACUUCAUUUAUGAAAAUUUUCUACAUGGUUAAAAAAUACCAUAAAUAAAAGCAAAGACAGAUGACAAACUGGGAAAAAUAUUUACAACUCAUCACAAAUGGCUAAUCUCUUUAAUAUAAAAAAAAAAAACUCAUGCAAAUCAAUAAGAAAAAAUGGAUGAUAAUCAAAAAGGAGCAAAGGAUAUAGGAACUUACAAAAAAAGAAAUACAAAUGGGUACUAAACCUAUGAAAAUAUAUUCAGCCUUACUUAUAAUAAGAGAAAUGGACAUUAAAAUUGUCUUGCGAUUCCAUUUCAAUCAUGAAAUUGGCAAAAAAAAAAUUUAAAAAACCCCAACUCUGUUGUUAAUAUUGAUUUGUUUUGGGGGAAAGCUUGUCAUUUCAUAUAUCACCAAUAGGAAUAAAAAUUGAUUUAGUCUUUAUAGAGGGCAAUUUGGCAAUAUUUAACAAAAUUUAAAAUGCACAAAUCUUUUGUGGCAACAGUUCCAUAUCUAAGUAUUUAUUAUACAUGUGCAAAAUGAUGAGUAGACAAGACUAUAAACUGCAACAUUGUAGUAGCAAAAGACUGAACACAAUCUAAACAUACAUCCAUGAGGGUCUUGUUGAAUAAAUCAUGGUAGAUCCAUACAAUGGUGUACAUCUACUAAAGAAGAAAGGAGGGGAGAGGAGAAGAAUGAGGUAGUUUUAUAUACAUUAAUUUGGAACAGCCUCCAAGAUAUGUUAUCCAGUGAAAAAAGCAAUGCACAGAAAUGUGUAUAGUAUGCUGUGAUGUGCAUAAAAAGUUUUAAAAGAAUGCACGUGUGUGUACAUAUUGGUAAGUGCAUACAAUAUAUCUGAAAGGAUAUAUAAAAAACUAGCUGGAGGGAAGGAACCCCUGGGGAAGGGUACUAAAUAGCCAAGGAAUGGGAUAAGAAACUUGUGUUUCAUUCUAUAUCCUCUUGUACAUUUUGAAUUUUGAGCAGAUACGUGCAUUAUCUAUUUAAGAGUGAAUAUUUUAAAACCAUGUGUGUGUAAAAUUUUGCAGUCUGAUUUUAUGCUUAUUUUAUAAAUAUUUGUAUAUAGCAUAUUGCAUAUAAUUAAUAUAACAUUAAUGGUUUCUAGGAGCUCUCUUCCCCCUUCUGUUACAAAUAAUGAUCUGGAUAUUUGCUGUCAUUAAUUACCGUAUUCCCUAAUGCCUUCCAGCCUUAUGUAUGCUCUUCUGUCUGCCUAGAAUACCGUACUUACCUUGCUCUCUCCUUGCCUGCACAUUCAGUGUAUUCCUCCUAAGAGGUCCAGUUCAAAUACUACUAGCUUUACCUUAUUCUCUCAGGCAUACUUAUUCAGGCAGUACUUUGUAUACUUCCAGAAUAAAGAUUUCUUAUUUUAUGGUAAUUGAUUACAUAUUAGUUUCUCCUCCCCAAAGACUACAUCUUUUCAUCUUUGUUAACAAAAUCCUCUGGCACCCCCAACCCUUGCCAAGAUCUUACUAGCUAGUAGAGAACAGUUAAACUCAAAGUCCAUAGUUCCAAAGUCCCUGGGAGUGAUACCAGAGGGUCCUGUGCACAAUUCAGCCCAUUCCAGGGAGGGUUUGGUUGUCUCAUUUGUGUUCCUGCAGCUCUACUGCUUGGUUCAGAACCAUCAGUCUUUGUGUUUUCAGAAACAUGGGUUCAUUAUUGAUAGCUAUAUGCCCUUUUAGGGUCUUGACUAGCCCCGUGCUACCACUUCCAACCCCCCAGAUCCAUGCUGCUGAUUUCACAUUGGCCUAGAAAUGAUAGAAAGGCUUAUCAGUUGGUUAAGGAUGUGAUCUAGAGUCAGACUGUGCCUGAGAGUGAAUUCCAGUUCUACAAGUUAGUGUCUGUAUGUGUUUCUUUCAUUGAACUUGACUAUUCCUCAUUUCUUCAAAUGUAAAUGAGGAUAACGGAAGUCAUUAUCUUAAGGUUGUUGCCAGAAUUAAAGGAGCUAAUUUUGCAAAAUGUUUAGGACAGUACCUAGCACAUAGUAAGCACUGUCUAAAAGUUAGGGGGUUUUUUUGUUUUUUUUGUUUGUUUGUUUUUUAUCAUUCUCUUUACCAAGUUCUCUAAGUGUGGACCCAAUUCCCCACAGCAUAACAGAGACCAAGUUAUAACUUAUAAGAAUUCUUUGCUGAAGUGUCCAGAAUAAUUAAAGGAAGUAACAAAAGAGAAAAAUUUCUAAAA